rnacentral:rRNA from 1 species
CCUACGGGAGGCAGCAGUGUGGAAUAUUGCACAAUGGAGGGAACUCUGAUGCAGCAACGCCGCGUGAGUGAAGAAGGUUUUCGGAUCGUAAAACUCUGUCAUUGGGGAAGAAUAAAUGACGGUACCCAAUGAGGAAGCCCCGGCUAACUACGUGCCAGCAGCCGCGGUAAU